rnacentral:rRNA from 1 species
GAGUUUGAUCUUGGCUCAGAUUGAACGCUGGCGGCAGGCCUAACACAUGCAAGUCGAGCGGAUGAAGGGAGCUUGCUCCUGGAUUCAGCGGUGGACGGGUGAGUAAUGCCUAGGAAUCUGCCUGGUAGUGGGGAUAACGUCCGGAACGGGCGCUAAUACCGCAUACGUCCUGAGGGAGAAAGUGGGGAUCUUCGGACCUCACGCUAUCAGAUGAGCCUAGGUCGGAUUAGCUAGUUGGGUGGGGUAAAGGCCUACCAAGGCGACGAUCCGUAACUGGUCUGAGAGGAUGAUCAGUCACACUGGAACUGAGACACGGUCCAGACUCCUACGGGAGGCAGCAGUGGGGAAUAUUGGACAAUGGGCGAAAGCCUGAUCCAGCCAUGCCGCGUGUGUGAAGAAGGUCUUCGGAUUGUAAAGCACUUUAAGUUGGAGGA